rnacentral:rRNA from 14 species
CAUGUCUCAGUGUAGGCUUCUAUAUUGUGAAAUUGCGAAUGGUUCAUUCAAUG